rnacentral:ribozyme from 1 species
CCCCCUAACGUGGAUCGCCUUGACGUGGCAGGGGGGCUUAACCCAGGUUUGUCAGAGCCUGGGAACUAAGAAUCCAC